UAUGUGAUCGUCUCUCGCAUAUCAAUAAGCGGAGGAAAAGAAACUAACAAGGAUUCCCCUAGUAACGGCGAGUGAAGCGGGAAGAGCUCAAAUUCGAAAUCUUAAAGGGUUUCCCUUUACGAAUUGUAGUUUAAAGAAGUGUUUUCUGUUGAGGUUUUGGUAAAAGUUCUUUGGAAUAGGACAUCAUAGAGGGUGAGAAUCCCGUAUUUGACCUUUACUUUCAACUUUGUGAUACACUUUCAAAGAGUCGGAUUGUUUGGGAAUGCAGUCCAAAAUGGGUGGUAAAUUUCAUCUAAAGCUAAAUAUUGGCGAGAGACCGAUAGCGAACAAGUACCGUGAGGGAAAGAUGAAAAGAACUUUGAAAAGAGAGUUAAACAGUACGUGAAAUUGUCAAAAGGGAAGCGUUUGACACCAGUGUUGUUUUUCUGAAAAUCAAUUAAAGAACUGUUUAUGCUAAGUUGUUUAGACUUUAUCAGCUAACUGUUUAGUUUUGAGCUUUUCUUUAAUGCACUUUUCAGUUAACAAGUCAACAUCAAUUUCUUUUGCUGUAAAAAAGCUUGAGGAGGUGGCUUGAGAUUCGUCUUAAGUGUUUAUAGCCUCUUGCCUAUGCAGUCGGAGAGAUUGAGGUCUGCAGCGUAGAUCCUUCGGGGCUAAAUGCAUUUGUGCUAAGUUAUAGCAUUUUAUAGACAACUUGUUGACUAUGAUUUGUCUUGUAGCUUACUCGCUUAUGUUAUUUUACCUACGCUUAGGAUGUUGAAGACUCUACAGAGAUA
rnacentral:rRNA from 1 species